rnacentral:pre_miRNA from 1 species
UAUAUACUCCCUCCGUCCAGAAAUACUUGUCUUAAAAAUGAAUAAAAUGGAUGUAUCUAUAACUAAAAUAAGUCUAGAUACAUCCAUUUCUGGGACAAGUAUUUUCGGACGGAGGGAGUAAUAC